rnacentral:lncRNA from 1 species
UACUCCUGAGUUGUCUUCGAUAAUGGAAUUUUCGAAUCGACGAUCGGCUUCGUUAGACUUGAUCUAGCGUAUUUGAACUUUCUAGAAAAUAAUUUUUGCGAUUUUUUAAUAUCAUUACCUAGUGAUCGAAAGGAUUCAAAAUCCAUAAUUUUUAAUGAUUGAUAUCUACCGUUUUCAAGUUUAACGGUGUAGAAGUGUUUAAGUCAAAUGAAAUUUUGAUACAAAAUUCUUUAUAGUAUCUACAACAAGAUCAAUAUUUCUGAUCGAAAAUUUUAGUGCUAUAUCACCACUUUUUAUAAAAUUUUUAUUUUCAGCCAUUAAAAAUUAUUGAUUUUGAAUCCUUUCGAUCACUAGAUAAAUGAUGUCAAAAAAUCGCAAAAAUUAUUUUCCAGAAAGUUCAAAUACGCUAGAUCAAGUUUAACGAAGCCGAUCGUCGAUUCGAAAAUUCUAUUAUCGAAAACAACUCAGGAGCACAGAGGCCUCCGUGCUCCUGAGAGCACAAAGAAUAUAAAGAGAAAUUAUUUGAACAUUAAUAUAAAGAGAAAGAGAGGG